UACGGAGGGUGCAAGCGUUAUCCGGAUUUACUGGGUUUAAAGGGUGCGUAGGUGGGUCUGUAAGUCAGUGGUGAAAUCUCCGGGCUUAACCCGGAAACUGCCAUUGAUACUAUAGAUCUUGAAUAUCCUGGAGGUGAGCGGAAUAUGUCAUGUAGCGGUGAAAUGCUUAGAUAUGACAUAGAACACCAAUUGCGAAGGCAGCUCACUACGGGAUCAUUGACGCUGAGGCGCGAAAGCGUGGGGAGCAAACAGG
rnacentral:rRNA from 1 species